AGACCCGACACACAGCGUGUGUGGCAUUCGGAAAUUUUUACAAGUCCAAGUGCAUGGUCAGGUAGGAAGGGGAGCGAAAAAAUGACACUUGAAAACACAUGAACGCAUCCAUUCUGCGCGUCGUUUGUGUUUUCGCUAACAGGGCUUAAAUUUACUUUGGUUUUAACGCUGCUAUCGUCAACCUGUGUUUAUUAAACAAAAAUUGGUGCUGUGUAUCGUGAUAGUGGAAUCCUCCAAUAAAUACAGUUGGAAGAGCGGCAGUUUUAAGCGACGUGUGAAUAAGCGCUACGAAGAACUGCGAAAAAAACUGUUCGGCGUCGAUCAAGGCACCAACAAAAGUGACAGUGCACCGGGUCCUAGCAACCGUCCACAUCUAAUUGAUGUGUCCCGGUUGCAGGAUACCGUUCACAAUGAAAGUGAAGAAAGUGACAGUGAAGAUAGAUUUAUACAUAGAUAUUUAACAUUUUAUUCUUUUUAAUUCUUUUUAGAAGGAGGCCUCACUCUGUCGUUCAGAGCGGGGUUUUACGAUUGCACGUAAGAAUUCAAAUUCGUAUGUAAGUAAAGUAAAUCAUCAUUAAGUAAGUAAGUAAGUAAAUCAUCACAUGAAUCAAAGCAUCAUAAAGUUUCAGGAACAUUUCAUACCUUAAUCUAUCGUACCUAACCUAAUACUGCAUUGAAAUCAGAACUAAUUAAUUGUUUGUUCCGUCUCACAGCUCUCAUCAAAACUGUUUUAAAAAAGUCUUCCGUGCCCUUAAUUGUAAAAGAAGGAUCGUACUGCCAAACACAACAGUAGAAUAGGUUCACCGUCCUUCUAUAUCUUUUAAAUGCUGGUUUCUUUUCAUUCUCAUGGUUGGCGUGGCCGGACCAAGAAAAGUGUGUAAGGAAUUCCCUCGUAAAAAAAUGGUCGACUAUUUGGAAACACACAUCUCGGCCGUUUUCCUGUGUUCCUGUGAGCGCUUCCAAGACCACUAGUCUACCGUCAAUGUUACGAAUUGUCUCCAGUAUCUGUGUGAGCCGGUGCAGCACCCUUUCCGAGACAUUGUGUUCCAUCAUGCUUGAUCCUGAUACACAGAAUAGAGUGAAAUGCUUCCAAGAAUCGCCUACGCACCAAACUACGCUUCGAACAGAAACCCGGCUGGAGCCACCGAGCAAAACAAAAACAAUGUGUACGUCACAUCGCGAUGCAACUACCCUCCACCAACGCACUUCACACCCACCAACGCAGCAUCGCGCUAGGAAUGCACGAAUAGGUGGGGAAGAGAGAGUCGGCAAGCGAGCGAAAGAGACACAAUA